CAGCAGCCGCGGUAAUACGUAGGUGGCAAGCGUUGUCCGGAAUUAUUGGGCGUAAAGGGCUCGCAGGCGGUUUCUUAAGUCUGAUGUGAAAGCCCCCGGCUCAACCGGGGAGGGUCAUUGGAAACUGGGAAACUUGAGUGCAGAAGAGGAGAGUGGAAUUCCACGUGUAGCGGUGAAAUGCGUAGAGAUGUGGAGGAACACCAGUGGCGAAGGCGACUCUCUGGUCUGUAACUGACGCUGAGGAGCGAAAGCGUGGGGAGCGAACAGGAUUAGAUACCCCGGUAGUCCCUGUCCUUAUACC
rnacentral:rRNA from 1 species